rnacentral:rRNA from 1 species
GGCGAACGCUGGCGGCGUGCUUAACACAUGCAAGUCGAACGGAAAGGCCCUGCUUGCAGGGUACUCGAGUGGCGAACGGGUGAGUAACACGUGGGUGAUCUGCCCUGCACUUCGGGAUAAGCCUGGGAAACUAGGUCUAAUACCGGAUAGGAGCCAUUUUUAGUGUGAUGGUUGGAAAGUUUUUUCGGUGUAGGAUGAGCUCGCGGCCUAUCAGCUUGUUGGUGGGGUAAUGGCCUACCAAGGCGGCGACGGGUAGCCGGCCUGAGAGGGUGGACGGCCACAUUGGGACUGAGAUACGGCCCAGACUCCUACGGGAGGCAGCAGUGGGGAAUAUUGCACAAUGGGCGCAAGCCUGAUGCAGCGACGCCGCGUGGGGGAUGACGGCCUUCGGGUUGUAAACUCCUUUCGCUAGGGACGAAGCUUUUUGUGACGGUACCUAGAUAAGAAGCACCGGCUAACUACGUG